rnacentral:ncRNA from 1 species
CAGUGAGUAAGUCCCUCUUGAAAAGAAUGAGGCUACUUUGGUGUGGUGUGACGAAGUAAAGAGGGCUUCACUC